UACGGAGGGUGCGAGCGUUGUCCGGAAUCAUUGGGCGUAAAGGGCGCGUAGGUGGCCUGCUAAGCGUGCGGUGAAAGUCGGGGGCUCAACCCCCGAUCGGCCGUGCGAACUGGGAGGCUUGAGCACUGUAGAGGCAGGCGGAAUUCCGGGUGUAGCGGUGGAAUGCGCAGAUAUCAGGAGGAACACCGAUGGCGAAGGCAGAUCUCUGGGCCGUAACUGACGCUGAGGAGCGAAAGCGUGGGGAGCGAACAGG
rnacentral:rRNA from 1 species